rnacentral:tRNA from 1 species
ACACCGGCCUUUCACGCCGGCAACGCGGGUUCAAAUCCCGCUGGGGUCACCA